rnacentral:rRNA from 1 species
UACGGAAGGUCCGGGCGUUAUCCGGAUUUAUUGGGUUUAAAGGGAGCGCAGGCCGGAGAUUAAGCGUGACGUGAAAUGCCGCGGCUCAACCGUGGAAGUGCGUCGCGAACUGGUUUCCUUGGGUGUAUUCGACGCCGGCGGAAUUCGUGGUGUAGCGGUGGAAUGCUUAGAUAUCACGAAGAACCCCGAUUGCGAAGGCAGCCGGCGAGGCUACAACUGACGCUAAAGCUCGAAGGUGCGGGUAUCGAAC